UUACCGGCUUGACAUGAANGNAACUCUGCAAGCACAGGUGCUGCAUGGCUGUCGUCAGCUCGUGUCGUGAGAUGUUGGGUUAAGUCCCGCAACGAGCGCAACCCUAUCUUAGUUGCCAUCAUAUGGGACUCUAAGAGACUGCCGGUGUCAACCGGAGGAAGGUGGGGAUGACGUCAAGUCCUCAUGGCCUUUAUGCCGGGCUACACACGUACUACAAUGGGGUACAAAGGGCACAGCGAUGGAAGCAAUCCCAAACCGUCUCAGUCCGGAUUGGAGUCUGCAACUCGACUCCAUGAAGUUGGAAUCGCUAGUAAUCGUGAUCAGCACGCACGGUGAAUACGUUCCCGGGCCUUGUACACACCGCCCGUCACACCACGGGAGUUGGUGACCGAA
rnacentral:rRNA from 1 species